rnacentral:rRNA from 1 species
UACGGAGGGGACUAGCGUUGUUCGGAAUUACUGGGCGUAAAGCGCACGUAGGCGGAUUUGUAAGUCAGGGGUGAAAUCCCGGGGCUCAACCUCGGAACUGCCUUUGAUACUGCAAAUCUCGAGUCCGGAAGAGGUGAGUGGAAUUCCCAGUGUAGUGGUGAAAUACGUAGAGAUUGGGAAGAACACCAGUGGCGAAGGCGGCUAUCUGGACGGUUUCUGACGCUAAGACGCGAAAGCGUGGGGAGCAAACAGG